rnacentral:rRNA from 1 species
GACGAACGCUGGCGGCGUGCUUAACACAUGCAAGUCGAACGGAAAGGCCCCUUUGGGGGUACUCGAGUGGCGAACGGGUGAGUAACACGUGAGUAACCUGCCCUUGACUUCGGGAUAACUUCAGGAAACUGGGGCUAAUACCGGAUAGGAAUCCUUGCUGCAUGGUGGGGGUUGGAAAGCUUCGGCGGUGUUGGAUGGACUCGCGGCUUAUCAGCUUGUUGGUGGGGUAGUGGCUUACCAAGGCUUUGACGGGUAGCCGGCCUGAGAGGGCGACCGGCCACAUUGGGACUGAGAUACGGCCCAGACUCCUACGGGAGGCAGCAGUGGGGAAUAUUGCACAAUGGGCGGAAGCCUGAUGCAGCAACGCCGCGUGCGGGAUGACGGCCUUCGGGUUGUAAACCGCUUUCAGCAGGGGCGAAGCUUGUGGUGACGGUACCUGCAGAAGAAGCACCGGCUAACUACGUG